GACGAACGCUGGCGGCGUGCCUAAUACAUGCAAGUCGAACGGUUUAGUUCCAAGAGGCUUGCCUUUUGGAACUAGACAGUGGCGGACGGGUGAGUAACACGUAGGCAACCUACCUGUCAAACCGGGAUAACCUCGGGAAACCGAAGCUAAACCCGGAUAAGCUCCUUUUUCGCAUGAAGGGGGAGUGAACAGGUGCGACCUGAUGACAGAUGGGCCUGCUGCGCAUUAGCUAGUAGGUAGGGUAACGGCCUACCUAGGCGAUGAUGCGUAGGCGACCGGAGGGGGGCGAGCGCGAGAGGGGGACCGGGAAAAGUGCGAGAGACCUACGGGAGGGAGUCAUAAGGGAGGCUGCGGUAGGGGAGAAAGCCUGAACGGAGGAAGCCGGAUGAAGGAAGGAGGCCUUCGGGGUGAAAAACUUCGGGUUGUGGGAAGAAGGGAAAGGGGAGGAACCUUAGGUGACGGUACCAAACGAGAAAGCCCCGGCUAACUACGUG
rnacentral:rRNA from 1 species